CAUCCUUUUCCCCAAUCUCAUCGCCCAGAAAAAACCAGGGAAAACCCAAACCCUCCAACCAUGUCCUUCUCUCGAUCCUACCGCCCUCCUCCGCCGCCCGAUCAUCGCUCCCACCACCGUGAUCCCUACGUAUCCUCCUCCACCGCCACCGCCACCGCCACCGGCAUCUACCACCACAGCACCGCCGAUAACGAUUUCUCCAGAAAACACCGGCGCUUCAUCGCCAACGAUGGUGCCGUACCCGAUGCUCCGUCCUCGAAGCGGAGAAGAUCCGCUCCUGUGUGGGACGCCGUGGCUGCGAAGAAUUACCGUGAUGCCGUUGCCAGCAACGCACCGUCGACCAGCAGCUCGGCUUUGAGCCAUAUGCGGAGUCAUGCCGCGACGGAGGACACGAUGUUCUUGUCUAGAGAUGAGAUCGAGCGGUGCUCGCCGUCGAGGAGGGACGGGAUCGAUCUGAUGCGGGAGACGCAUCUACGGUACUCCUACUGCUGGUACAUCCAGAACCUCGGCAUGCGGCUCCAACUGCCUCAGACGACGAUCGGAACUGCGAUGGUGCUCUGCCAUCGUUUCUAUGUUCGCCGAUCUCAUGCUGGGAAUGAUAGAUUUUUGAUCGCGACAGCUGCUCUUUUCCUUGCAGCGAAGUCUGAGGAGACACCCUGCCCCUUGAACUCUGUGCUCAGGGCAUCUUGUGAGAUUUGCAAUAGACAAGAAUUUGCUUUCUUUCCAUACUUGUUGCAUGGUCAGGACUGGUUUGAGCAGUACCGUGAACGAGUCAUUGAAGCUGAACAAAUAAUACUAACCACUUUGGACUUUGAACUCACGGUGGAACAUCCAUAUGAUCCCCUUGCAUCUGUUCUUAACAAAUUAGGUCUCUCACAAACUCUUCUGCUGAAUAUAGCCUGGAACUUAAUCAGUGAAGGGAGACCUAUGUCUUAUUUGUUUAAGCUUUUCUGCCACAAAUUUUUUAAGACCUCUUUUGCUCCAAGAUAGAUGUUCAUCAGUGGCUUUACGUUUGAGUUUGACUAUGAUUUGGUAGAGUUCUUAUAUCAAACUAUAGGGAAGGGUUAUGUUUAUUUUCGUUGAACUGCACAGAGCAGGAUUUGGAGUGAGGGCUCGUUUUUGUUAAGGUAUGAACCUGGAUGGUUCUCUUUAUGAACUUUUGUUUAACGAAGAGAAACCGACUAUCAGGGCUCAUUAAUAUGAGUAAAUUCUUUUGUUGCCUCUUAUUUUGUCUGUCCAGGAAUGAAGAAUAUUACAGAAAAAUGAGUGAGCAUUUAAAGAUUCUUCUCUUUAUUACACUCAGAUCAAAGUAUUAACUUUGUGAUUCAGAAACUGAUUCAAUAAAGUAAUGAUCUCUGGUUUGUAAUGUUAUUUGACACAGUUGGUUAUGCAAGAGUAAUAGAACAACUAUGAAAAUGCCAGGGUGUUGACUAAAUGUGAGCUAUAAGCAAAGGAGUUAUCUAGAGGAAUUAUCAGGGUUUUACUGAAGGCUUGGAAAAUGUGUCAUGGUGGUGUGAGUUGGAUCAAAGAAAGCCCUUUGAGGGAGAUGUCCAGAAUUAUUGAAGCAAUGCGAGUAGUUUAUGAUGUCUUUUCCAUAUCCAGUGUGCAAAAAGCUAAUGUAAAUUUUCACAACAUAGAAGGAUCAACUAUCGACAUCUCAGGUGCCUGAUAUCAGUGAUGAUAUGUUGCAAUUGCAACAUUGGUCAAACUGUUCUGUUAAGUCCAGCUUGCAUGUGGAGAAUUAAAAUGCAGCUAUCACUAGGGAUAGUUAAUGACGCAGGUUAGUAAGCUUCACCUUAAACAGCUUGGUGAGUUGUUGUGAUCAAGGAUUGUUUUUGGUUCUGCUGGUUAAAUGUGUCAGAUGUUGGACUACAUUUGGAAUCAACUGAUAAACACAGAAUCCUUAUUCUAUGCAUGUUGGAUCAAGGAGGGCGUUCUCAAGAAUUAUGUGCUCACCUAUGUGACUUUCUUAGCUGGAGGAUUGAUAUGCUGUUCAUGGAAAGCAUUUAUUUUACAUCUGAAGUUGAGCAACUAGUGGGCAUUGGAUAUAGUACCAAAAGAGUCAGUCUGAUUUUCUGAUUGGCCAUUUCAGAUGGCAACCAGACUUUCAGAACCAGUUCUAUUGAUUGGACAUCCUCUUUCUCUUGUUUCUCUUUGAUGGUCUUAUUUUAGACUCAAUUAUUGCUGCCCUCUUCCAUUUUUUUUAGGCCACAAAGUCAGGUUUAUUUUGCUUUUACCUAAUUCAAUAUAUUCUCUGGGCCACUAUCAUAUUCCCAAUUUUGCAUUGGCUCCUCCUAUAGUAAGCCAUCACUGCAAGCUACCUGUUUUUCAGUCCAGCUUCACUCCCUUUCUGGUUCUAUUCUUCACCUGACAUGCAUUAGCACACAUAGCUAUCAUUUUCUUCUGGCCUUUCUCAUAAACAUGCACAAGUUGCUACCCUUUUUUGUUUGAGCGUGAAAGUUAUUGUUACAUUGUGUGAAGAGACUUGGUAUCAGAAUACAUGAAUUUAUAUACGGAACAUAGCUUGCUGUGGUCUGUGACCCUAGCACAAAGUAGUAAAGAUCAAGCAUCAAGGUCCAGAGUCUUCUAUUACAAGAAAAAUGCUUAGAUUCUUGUUGCUUAUGAGGCUAAGGCUUGUGUUGUGCUAGUGUUUAUUGGGAGGGAUUUAAACAAUUUAAUGUUUGCGGUACAAAAAUGUUCUUAAGCAUCCUGAUGUAGCAUUACUUUAAUCAAUAAUUGUAUGACACUCUGGCGCUAAAUUUCACUUGACAUGCCAGCAAGUUUGAAGAAGCAUAGCUGAAUCAUAUACCAAACGUGAAGGGUGCUUAUACCUAGUUUCACAACUCAAAAAAUUGCAACUGUUAUUGCCAAGUGUUCUGUGCUUUAUAUCCGUACAACCUAUUUUAUGGCAUAUUUGCUUGAUACCCUGAGUUCAAAGGACCACCCCCAAUAUUGCUUUAUCCUCUCAGUGUUACUUGUUAGUUGCUCAGUGUUAGGAGGCAGUCCAAGAUUUGAUUUUAGCAGAUUAGAGAAGUAUCUCUCCUCUUCAAUAUAUGCUUAGUCUUUGCUUCCAGAUAUCUUGCAAUUGUUUUAUCAGAAAGCAUUUUUGUUAGGAAGAGAAGUAGAUCAGGGGAGAAGUAUGGAUCUUUUUUAAUAGUAGAAUAUUAUGUGAGCUGCUUUUUCAUUAUCAUGUGUUUGGAUCACGGGAGCAACAGAAUUCCUUGGAGCUUAUUUUGGGCCAGAAUUUAGAUGCAUUUGUUUCAAAGGCACAUCUUGCUGCUAUAAUUUAGCACACUUCCAGAAUUUCUGCUGAAGUAUUUUAAAGUAUGUCACCUGGAGGGGGCUACUUUUUAUAGUUGACUUCGAAGCUCACUCUGGCUUCAAUUUAAGCCUCAUCAUAUUGCUGCUGGGGCAGCAUUUGUUGCCGCUAAAUUUCUGAAUUUCGACCUUGCUUCUUACCAAAGUAUCUGGCGUGAAUUUGAGACAAC